GCUGGCAUGGUGGUGGGUGUUGUGCUGGGCUCCCUUGGGGUUCUUUGCCUAGCUGUUGGUAUGUUUGUCGGGUUUCUGAAGAUGCGUCGAUGUGUUAUCCACGCAAGCUUCCCCAACCCACCCAGUGUUCCACAAGACGACAGGCACUGAGGAGGACGGGAGCGAGCGGCUGCAUGCACACCUGAACGGGACGACAUUAUAUUCGUCCCACAGGAGUAUGACUACAGCGAAGAAAGCCCAGAAUAAAGUGUUUAGUGACAAUGAUGAUUCAGAACUACUAACACCAAAGGGUUUGGAGUGAACGUGAAAGACAUACAACAGACACCAGACUGCUACUGCUGGUGUUGCCAAACGAACAAGAAGAGGAGGAGGAGGAAGAAGAAGAUGGUGAUUCUUAGAGAGGUGCCAAUGAAGUUCUGAAGGUUGGCCACAAAUCUUCAUCACUAGUGUAGUGUAUUUCAUUGACCAUUUGUAGAGUGGGUGGAUAGAUUUGUAGAUUUUGUAGACAGCUAUCGUUUAUGC